GAUGAACGCUGGCGGCGUGCCUAAUACAUGCAAGUCGAGCGAACGGACGAGAAGCUUGCUUCUCUGAUGUUAGCGGCGGACGGGUGAGUAACACGUGGAUAACCUACCUAUAAGACUGGGAUAACUUCGGGAAACCGGAGCUAAUACCGGAUAAUAUUUUGAACCGCAUGGUUCAAAAGUGAAAGACGGUCUUGCUGUCGCUUAUAGAUGGAUCCGCGCUGCAUUAGCUAGUUGGUAAGGUGACGGCUUACCAAGGCAACGAUGCAUAGCCGACCUGAGAGGGUGAUCGGCCACACUGGAACUGAGACACGGUCCAGACUCCUACGGGAGGCAGCAGUAGGGAAUCUUCCGCAAUGGGCGAAAGCCUGACGGAGCAACGCCGCGUGAGUGAUGAAGGUCUUCGGAUCGUAAAACUCUGUUAUUAGGGAAGAACAUAUGUGUAAGUAACUGUGCACAUCUUGACGGUACCGAAUCAGAAAGCCACGGCUAACUACGUG
rnacentral:rRNA from 1 species